AGCUCAACCAUUUGCUCGGGCUUCGUUUUUCUUUACUCAACUGGCUUCUUCACUAUAGCGGUUAGCAACUUCAUCCUCCCUCCUCUCAUGGUCAUAGUAUUAAAGGUUUUUUUAAUGAGCUAGUUAUAUGUUACAAAUGGAGUACUUGAUGCUUUAUUAGAGUGAGGAGAAUGGAUAGUUUUUUUAGAAUGAGAUUUAUGUUACAAACGGAGUAUUUGUUGAUCUUUUAAAACGAGGAGAAUGAAGAGUUUUUAGAGUGGGGAGAAUGGAGAGUUUUUUUAGAAUAAGUUUUAUGUUACAAAUGGAGUACUUGUUGAUCUUUUAGAAUGAGGAGAAUGGAGAGUUUUUUAGAAUGAGUUUUUUUUUGUUAAAAAUGGAGUACUUGUUGAUUUUUUAGAAUGAGGAGAACGGAGAGUUUUUGAGUGUAGAGAAUGAAGAUUUUUUUCUGAAUAAUAUUUAUGUUACAAAUGAAGUACUUGUUGAUCUUUCAGAAUGAGGAGAAUGGAAAGUUUUUUAAAAUAAGUUUUAUGUUACAAAUGAAGUACUUGUUGAUAUUUUAGAACGUAGGAGAAUGGAGAGUUUUUUAGAGUAAGGAGAAAUGAGAGUUUUUUAGAAUAAGUUUUAUGUUACAAAUGGUCCGGCUAAAUAUUGUAAACACAUUUACUCUAUUUUUCACAUAAUAUGAAUAUGAUACAAAUGGAUUAGCAAUGGAUGUAACACCUCCACUCCUCCGCUCCUCCAGUACCAGAGAACAGAAGAACUUUGUGUCCACAAAUUCUAACCGAUUGUCAUAAAAGAACCUUGAAAUAGUUUUCCAAACACCUUUUGGAGCCACAUUUUCAUAACUAGAAGUACGGUGGCCCAAUAGCCUAUCCAGGUAGAGAUUUAUUCACUGACCUUGACCCAUCGGCUUUUGGUUGGUUUUGGCUUGCCAAAAUGGGCCAUGCUCGGUGAACAAGUCCUUUUCCUGGAUGGGCUAUUGUGUGCUACUGUAUUCUAUUAUGAUAAUGUGACACUUGCUUCAAAAUAUAUUUGGACAAUUAUUUCAAUAUUACUUUAUGAUAUUUAGCCAAAGUAUGUGGACUCAAAGAUCAACUGUUGUGCCAUUAUUUUAGGGUUCUUGACUCCGUGAAGUCCACUGUGGAACAUCUGUAGUCUUUAGUGUAUCUUUGUUGUCUUGUUCCAACAUUCUAGAAUUUUUAUUUUUGUCGAACUAGUGAAUGAUAUGGAGGUUGACUAUUGUAAUUUUUAUGUCACUAUAAUUUAAAAAUAUUUCUAUUUCUUUGACCCAUAAUAUUGAUCAAGUUCUUUAUCUAAUAUGAAGCUCUAUGUCCAUUUUUCACAUAAUACGAUGUGGAUGGACUGGCAAUGGAUUUACCACCUUCGCUCCUCCAGUACUGAAGAACAAUGUGUGCACAUGGGAGGAAUAUGCUUACACUAUUAUCCGGUAUUGGAGGAGCGGGCGUGGUUCUCCAUAAACUUGGCUGGGAGCAACUGUCUCCACAGAGAUGGCUUUUAGGGUUCUUAAUUUAUUAGCGGGGGUGGAAUGUCUAUAGUAUUUAAUGUAUCUUUAUUGUCUUAUUUUAGAAUAUAAGCAUUUUUUUGUUAAACU
rnacentral:lncRNA from 1 species